rnacentral:rRNA from 1 species
GAUGAACGCUGGCGGCGUGCCUAAUACAUGCAAGUCGAGCGAACAGACGAGGAGCUUGCUCCACUGACGUUAGCGGCGGACGGGUGAGUAACACGUGGAUAACCUACCUAUAAGACUGGGAUAACUUCGGGAAACCGGAGCUAAUACCGGAUAAUAUAUUGAACCGCAUGGUUCAAUAGUGAAAGACGGUUUUGCUGUCACUUAUAGAUGGAUCCGCGCCGCAUUAGCUAGUUGGUAAGGUAACGGCUUACCAAGGCAACGAUGCGUAGCCGACCUGAGAGGGUGAUCGGCCACACUGGAACUGAGACACGGUCCAGACUCCUACGGGAGGCUGCAGUAGGGAAUCUUCCGCAAUGGGCGAAAGCCUGACGGAGCAACGCCGCGUGAGUGAUGAAGGUCUUCGGAUCGUAAAACUCUGUUAUUAGGGAAGAACAAAUGUGUAAGUAACUAUGCACGUCUUGACGGUACCUAAUCAGAAAGCCACGGCUAACUACGUG